rfam:Stentor coeruleus isolate WM001 SteCoe_contig_336, whole genome shotgun sequence.
GCCUCUAUAGCUCAGCUGGCAGAGCAUUUGCCUUGUAAGUAAAAGGUCGCCGGUUCAAUCCCGGCUGGGGGCU